rnacentral:rRNA from 1 species
CCUACGGGUGGCUGCAGUGGGGAAUAUUGGACAAUGGGCGCAAGCCUGAUCCAGCAAUGCCGCGUGUGUGAAGAAGGCCUGCGGGUUGUAAAGCACUUUCAGUGGGGAGGAAGGCCUCGAUGUUAAUAGUAUCGAGGAUUGACGUUACCUACAGAAGAAGCACCGGCUAACUCUGUGCCAGCAGCCGCGGUAAUACCGAGGGUGCGAGCGUUGAUCGGAAUUACUGUGCGUAGUUACCUAGGUUGUGGUUGAAAUCCCUGGGCUUAACCUAGGAAUUGCGUUUAAUGCUGAGUAGCUAGAGUAUGGGAGAGGUAAGUGGAAUUUCCAGUGGAGCGGUGAAAUGCGUAGAUAUUGGAAGGAACACCAGUGGCGAAGGCGACUUACUGGACCAUUACUGACACUGAGGCGCGAAAGCGUGGGGAGCGAACAGGAUUAGAUACCCUAGUAGUC